UGAGCCUCUGUUUGCUUCUGUUAAAAA
rnacentral:piRNA from 1 species